GACGUAGGGCGCGAGCGUUGUCCGGAUUGAUUGGGCGUAAAGAGCUCGUAGGCGGCUCGUUGCGUCGGCUGUGAAAACCCGCAGCUCAACUGUGGGCCUGCAGCCGAUACGGGCGGGCUGGAGUUCGGUAGGGGAGACUGGAAUUCCUGGUGUAGCGGUGAAUGCGCAGAUAUCAGGAGGAACACCGGUGGCGAAGGCGGAUCUCUGGGCCAUUACUGACGCUGAGGAGCGAAAGCGUGGGGAGCGAACAGG
rnacentral:rRNA from 1 species